AAUUCUUAGUGGCGAACGGGUGAGUAACGCGUAGGCAACCUGCCCUUUAGACGGGGACAACAUUCCGAAAGGAGUGCUAAUACCGGAUGUGAUCAUCUUGCCGCAUGGCAGGAUGAAGAAAGAUGGCCUCUACAAGUAAGCUAUCGCUAAAGGAUGGGCCUGCGUCUGAUUAGCUGGUUGGUGAGGUAACGGCCCACCAAGGCGACGAUCAGUAGCCGGACUGAGAGGUUGACCGGCCACAUUGGGACUGAGAUACGGCCCAGACUCC
rnacentral:rRNA from 1 species